rnacentral:rRNA from 1 species
GGAUAACCUACCCUUAGGACCGGGAUAACCCUGGGAAACUGGGGCUAAUACUGGAUAGGCAAUUAUUCCUGCAAUGGUUUUUUGUUUAAAUGUUUUUUCGCCUAAGGAUGGGUCUGCGGCCGAUUAGGUAGUUGGUUAGGUAAUGGCUUACCAAGCCGUUGAUCGGUACGGGUUGUGAGAGCAAGAGCCCGGAGAUGGAACCUGAGACAAGGUUCCAGGCCCUACGGGGUGCAGCAGGCGCGAAACCUCCGCAAUGUGAGAAAUCGCGACGGGGGGAUCCCAAGUGCCAUUCUUAACGGGAUGGCUUUUCAUUAGUGUAAAGAGCUUUUGGAAUAAGAGCUGGGCAAGACCGGUGCCAGCCGCCGCGGUAACACCGGCAGCUCUAGUGGUAACAAUUUUUAUUGGGCCUAAAGCGUCCGUAGCCGGUUUAAUAAGUCUCUGGUGAAAUCCUGUAGCUUAACUGUGGGAAUUGCUGGAGAUACUAUUAGACUUGAGACCGGGAGAGGUUAGAGGUACUCCCAGGGUAGAGGUGAAAUUCUGUAAUCCUGGGAGGACCGCCUGUUGCGAAGGCGUCUAACUGGAACGGUUCUGACGGUGAGGGACGAAAGUUAGGGGCGCGAACCGGAUUAGAUACCCGGGUAGUCCUAACUGUAAACGAUGCGGACUUGGUGUUGGGGGUGGCUUUGAGCUGCUCCAGUGCCGAAGGGAAGCUGUUAAGUCCGCCGCCUGGGAAGUACGGUCGCAAGACUGAAACUUAA